rnacentral:tRNA from 1 species
GCACCAGUAGUGUAGUGGUAUCAUACAAGAUACAUAUUCUUGUGACCCGGGUUCGAUUCCGGCUGGUGCA